rnacentral:rRNA from 1 species
CACUAGUGAUUAGAGUUUGAUCCUGGCUCAGGGUGAACGCUGGCGGCGUGNCCUAAGACAUGCAAGUCGAACGGGCCUGAUUUCGGUCAGGCUAGUGGCGGACGGGUGAGUAACACGUGGGUGAUCUACCCCAAAGUCUGGGACAACUAGGGGAAACCUUAGCUAAUCCCGGAUGGUGAGGCUUCUCCUGUGAAGUCUCUAAAGAUUUAUCGCUUUGGGAUGAGCCCGCGGCGCAUCAGCUAGUUGGUGGGGUAAUGGCCUACCAAGGCGACGACGCGUAGCUGGUCUGAGAGGACGACCAGCCACAGGAGCACUGAGACACGGGCUCCACUCCUACGGGAGGCAGCAGUUAGGAAUCUUCGUCAAUGGGCGAAAGCCUGAACGAGCGACGCCGCUUGAGGGACGAAGCCCUUCGGGGUGUAAACCUCUGAACAGGGGACGAUGAUGACGGUACCCUGCUAAUAGCACCGGCUAACUCCGUGCCAGCAGCCGCGGUAAUACGGAGGGUGCGAGCGUUACCCGGAUUUACUGGGCGUAAAGGGCGUGUAGGCGGUUUUCUAAGUCCGGGGCUAAAGACCAGGGCUCAACCCUGGGUUUGCCUUGGAUACUGGAAAGCUCGACGGCUGGAGGGGGCAGCGGAAUUUCCGGAGUAGCGGUGAAAUGCGCAGAUACCGGAAGGAACGCCAAUAGCGAAGGCAGCUGCCUGGACAGUACGUGACGCUGAGGCGCGAAAGCGUGGGGAGCAAACCGGAUUAGAUACCCGGGUAGUCCACGCCCUAAACGAUGAGUGCUGGGUGUCCGGCGUUUGCCGGGUGCCGAAGCUAACGCGUUAAGCACUCCGCCUGGGAAGUACGGUCGCAAGACUGAAACUCAAAGGAAUUGACGGG